AAGGGGAGGGAGGGUGUAAUCUUGGUUCCUAUGGCACAAGCUCUGACCUUUCUUUCUAAAUUUUCAUAGAUGUUCUUGAAUAGAUGUUUCUUCACCUGCUGUUUGUCUUUGGGGCCAUUUCCAGAGUCUUUACAUGGUUAUUUUAUAUAAUUAUCACCGGUUUGCCUGGGGAGUGGGCCAGCUCAUGCUGGCAUGCCCCCAGAGUUUAUCAGAGGCAUUUCUUUGUGGUCUGACAGCUUCACUGACCUGGAGCUCCAGGCUCCUGGGCUCAGUGAAGGGAGGGCCACCCUGGAGAGGGUCAUGCCUCCUCUCCUCAGAUUCUGAGACCGAGGCUGAGGCUUCCCCGACCCUUCCUUGCUUUAUACCUGGUGCCUUCAUCUUCAGGUUAAAUUUCAGAAUCUGGUGAGAAUGUCCAUGCUAUAGGCAGGGUUCUCUAGGAGUCAUGGACCUUGUCCAGGAAAUCAAGAGUGUUUUCUGUCUGGUGGAUACUGCUCCCUGUGAGCAUCUCAGAUAUUUCCAAAAGGGUUCACUUGCCUGAGGUGACCGAUAUUUGUCACAAUGAUUAAUUUUUCAUCAGUCCCAAGUGAAACAGGUGGAAACUGGCCCAGAUUGCAGAAAGCCUCACAGACCCCUCUCCACCACCUUCCUGUCUCAGGACUCCAUCAGAACCAGUGGUUCCCGCUGGUAUUGGUUCUGUCAGUCCCCAGGGAAGGGGUUGCAGUGGGGUGACCUUGAAGCCCUGCAUGAGCAGGAAGUGAAAACCAGGCCAGGCACGCAAAUUACUGGAGACUUGAAGAUGUGUCUCCCCGCCCCCAAAGCCCCCUGGCAAAGACUGGGUGACUUAUUGGCUCCAGGUACUUAAUCUCUGUGCACGCAUGAGCUCACCAUAAAAGUAACGGAAUGGAAA